rnacentral:sRNA from 1 species
AUUUUAUUGAAUCAGAUAGGCUUUAGAGCCUUGAUAUUAAGCACUUUGGUGCGCUUUCCUUUAGUGCUUUUUGAUUUCU